rnacentral:rRNA from 1 species
UACGUAGGUGGCAAGCGUUGUCCGGAUUUACUGGGCGUAAAGGGCGUGCAGGCGGUUUGUUAAGUGCAGGGUGAAAGCUCCCGGCUCAACUGGGAGAGGUCCUUGCAUACUGGCAAACUCGAGGGAGGCAGAGGAAAGUGGAAUUCCCGGUGUAGUGGUGAUAUGCGUAGAUAUCGGGAGGAACACCUGUGGCGAAGGGCGGCUUUCUGGGCCCUUACCGUGACGCUGAGA